GUUGUAUGGUUAAGUGACUAAGCGUACACGGUGGAUGCCUUGGCAGUCAGAGGCGAUGAAAGGCGUAAUAACUUGCGAUAAGCCCAGAUUAGGUAGUAAUAACCUUUUGAGUCUGGGAUUCCUGAAUGGGGAAACCCACUUACAUAAGUAAGUAUCCUGUUGUGAAUACAUAGCAACAGGAGGCAAACCGGGGGAACUGAAACAUCUAAGUACCCCGAGGAAGAGAAAUCAACCGAGAUUCCGAAAGUAGCGGCGAGCGAAAUUGGAUUAGCCCUUAAGCUUUUAAUGAUGCAGGUGAAGAGUCUGGAAAGUCUCGCAGUAAAGGGUGAUAGCCCCGUAACCGACACAUCAUAAUCAGUGAAAACGAGUAGGGCGGGACACGUGAUAUCCUGUCUGAAUAUGGGGGGACCAUCCUCCAAGGCUAAAUACUACUGACUGACCGAUAGUGAACCAGUACCGUGAGGGAAAGGCGAAAAGAACCCCUGUGAGGGGAGUGAAAUAGAACCUGAAACCGUGUACGUACAAGCAGUAGGAGCACCUUCGUGGUGUGACUGCGUACCUUUUGUAUAAUGGGUCAGCGACUUAAUUUUAGUAGCAAGGUUAACCGUUUAGGGGAGCCGUAGGGAAACCGAGUCUUAACUGGGCGUACAGUUGCUAGGAUUAGACCCGAAACCAGGUGAUCUAGCCAUGGGCAGGUUGAAGGUUGAGUAACAUCAACUGGAGGACCGAACCGACUAAUGUUGAAAAAUUAGCGGAUGACUUGUGGCUAGGGGUGAAAGGCCAAUCAAACCUGGAGAUAGCUGGUUCUCCCCGAAAGCUAUUUAGGUAGCGCCUCGGACGAAUACUACUGGGGGUAGAGCACUGUUAAGGCUAGGGGGUCAUCCCGACUUACCAACCCUUUGCAAACUCCGAAUACCAGUAAGUACUAUCCGGGAGACACACGGCGGGUGCUAACGUCCGUCGUGGAGAGGGAAACAACCCAGACCGCCAGCUAAGGUCCCAAAGUAUAGCUAAGUGGGAAACGAUGUGGGAAGGCUCAGACAGCCAGGAUGUUGGCUUAGAAGCAGCCAUCAUUUAAAGAAAGCGUAAUAGCUCACUGGUCGAGUCGGCCUGCGCGGAAGAUGUAACGGGGCUAAGCUAUACACCGAAGCUGCGGCUACGUACCUUAGGGUAUGUGGGGUAGGGGAGCGUUCUGUAAGCCGUUGAAGGUGGUCUGUAAGGGCUGCUGGAGGUAUCAGAAGUGCGAAUGCUGACAUGAGUAACGAUAAAGGGAGUGAAAAACUCCCUCGCCGGAAGACCAAGGGUUCCUGUCCAACGUUAAUCGGGGCAGGGUAAGUCGACUCCUAAGGCGAGGCCGAAAGGCGUAGUCGAUGGGAAACGGGUUAAUAUUCCCGUACUUCUUACAAUUGCGAUGGGGGGACGGAGAAGGCUAGGUGGGCCUGGCGACGGUUGUCCAGGUUCAAGUACGUAGGCGG
rnacentral:rRNA from 1 species